rnacentral:lncRNA from 1 species
CCCAAAGCUCAGCUUCUUCUCAGUCUCAUUUUUCUACCUUUCCUGUAAUUCGCCGUGUGCUGCCAUGGCUCGCAGGAGACCAGGACUCACUGCAGAGGUUCUGGUAACGUCCCCUUCCCCUGUCCCCUACAGAGAAAAUCACCAGGGCCCGAGAGUGAUUCUUACAAUCACAGCGACUGCUGAUCAAACUCGUAUUCCUGUCUACGAUUCUGCUGCUCAUGUUUCCUACCCCAUGAGGGCCAGAGUCCGGCUUGGAAGUGUCCGGGACAUCACAAGAGCCACUGCUCCUCAUCCAUGGUCCGUGACGCCGGGAAGCACCCAGCGUUGCUUAGUCAACGACCACAUCACUGCCAGUGCCUGCUUUCAGCUUCCCUGGGCUCCAGGUCCGUGAGGUCCUUUGCUCUGACUCUCAGCUCAGGCACAGUGGAAGAUUUCACUCUUCUGUCGCAGGAAAAACCAAAGCCCUCAGAGGUGACCCCCACACCUGCUGCCCUGCACCCUUACACCUGUCCCACCCCUCCCUUGUCACUAUAUAUGUUCAAGUAACAAUGGUUAAGUCUGUGUUAAGUAGUUAAGUGAGAUAUACAAUGAGAUAUACUUUGUCAAGGCGAUCCUCCCGCCUCAGCCUCCCUAGGGCUGGGAUUAUAGGUGAGCGCCGCCACACCCAGCUCUAUGCUUAAAAAUGUCUGCAAUUCUUUCUUGUUUCCUUUGCUUCCCAUUACUGCUCACCCCUUUUCAGGCCGGUGUCCCCCUUUACUGUGUCACUCCCCUGCCUUUGCAGUGAUCAUCGGGUUGUUCUAUAGUUUCCUCUUCCUGGAACCUCCACUAGUACCCAGUGUUGAGACCGACUUUCCUACAACGCGCUCUUUCUUGGCUCUGAGGACCUGCCGCGCCCCUGCCUUCCUCCUGUGCCCGGCUGCCCCCGUCCCUGCGGGCUCACUCUGCUUUCUCUGUCCACAGUGGUGUUCGGGGAGGGUGCUCGGUCCUGGGCCUCCUCGUAGGACGCUGCACGCUCCCUCCAAGGGCUCACUCCUGUCCCAGAUCUCCAGCUCCUUCCAGCCCAUUCCUCCCACGUUCACGCCCUUUCUCUGGUCUGGGGGGGGGGGGUGGCCUUCCGGCUGGCGUCCCUACUCCCACGUCCCAAGGAUCCCACAGACGCGGCACCCUGGAAACCAAAGCCUCGCUCCUCCCCACUCUCAGCGUCCUCAGAGGUGAGCCCGGCCUCCUGCCCUGGCCCAUGCUUCAGGAGGCUGCACCUGUCACAAACUACCUACCACACACAUUUCUUGGAUGACACUGGGGUGCCUCUGUCACUUGGGCUCUGCCCACGGGGCUGCCACUGCACAACCUGAUGCUCUGCUCGGGCCGGGAAAUACGCUGCUGUCGCUUGUGCUCAUCCUCGGAGCAGAAAAGUGACAAUGACCAAAUCCUGUUCGCUUGGAGGUGGCGCCUCUGCUGGAUUCUGACACACGCCUUACCUUGAGGUGUGGGAGGAUUUAAGCAGUGGGAGCGUUUAGGAGACUGAGACUCUUGGCCGGGGCCUUGAUAAAACCACUUUUCCGGAACUCCCAGUGAAGUAGCAGGCUGUCCAUCUCAGUAGCUGUGCUGGGGGAGUACAGGAAGUGAUCCUUGUGUUCAUCCACUUGGUAGAGGAAUGGCAAGGUGUAUGCCCGUGUGUCAAAGUAUCAACAGAAUUAGCCCAAGUCAGUACAAUGUCACAUGAAAAUCUGCUUUUACAAUUUUGGGAGGAGGUUGAAAGUGAGUCAUCAGGUGACUCAGGUACUGAUGAUGACUUGGACCAUGCACGCCAAAGAAAUUGUGACAAUGAGAUGGAGCAAGACAUACAGAUAGAGAAAUACAGAAUGAUACAGAUCAGGAAGAAAACAGUAAUGUAAAUAAAUAUUUGACUAGUCAAAAUGGUACAAAAUGGUCAUGUAUACUUGAACGAUCCAGUGUUAGAACUAGG